rnacentral:rRNA from 1 species
CACGUAGGGCGCAAGCGUUGUCCGGAAUUAUUGGGCGUAAAGAGCUCGUAGGCGGUCUGUUGCGUCCGCUGUGAAAACUCGGGGCUUAACCCCGAGCCUGCAGUGGAUACGGGCAGACUAGAGGUAGGUAGGGGAGAAUGAAAUUCCCGGUGUAGCGGUGAAAUGCGCAGAUAUCGGGAGGAACACCGGUGGCGAAGGCGGUUCUCUGGGCCUGACCUGACGCUGAGGAGCGAAAGCGUGGGGAGCGAACAGG